GGACUACCCGCUGAACUUAAGCAUAUCACUAAGCGGAGGAAAAGAAACUAACUAGGAUUCCCCCAGUAACUGCGAGUGAAGAGGGAAGAGCUCAUCAUUGGAAUCUGGCAGUGUUACACUGUCCGAGUUGUAGAUGAGGAGUAGUCCGUCUGGACUGCAUGGCGUCCAAGUACAAUAGGCCGUCAGUGGGACAUCAUAGAGGGUGACAAUCCCGUCCUUGACGCCAAUGUGCAAGUCUAUUACGAUGGCUAUCUCAGAGAGUCGAGCAGUUUGGGAUUUGCUGCUUAAACAUGGGAGGUAGAUUCCUUCUAAAGCUAAAUACAGGCGAGAGACCGAUAGAGAACAAGUACCGCAAGGGAAAGAUGAAAUAGCACUCUGUGAAGGGAGUCAAAAGGCGUGAAAUUGUUGCGAGAGAAGCGAUUCAAGUCAGCGUAGCUAGGCCCAUCAAGCGUCUUCGCUUUGGACUAGCUUUGCCAGCGGUCUUGUCCCUUAAAGAGACUUGACUUGUAAUAUGUCCAGCCUGGCGUGCACAGGCAGCCCCUUCUGGGGGCCAGUGGCAUGGCUGGUGGAAUGGCUUGCAAUCGACCCGUCUUGAAACACGGACCAAGGAGUCUAACAUGUAUGCGAGUAUAAGGGUGGCAAACCCGUAUGCGCAAUGAAAGUGAUUUUCGGUGAUUGAGAAUGGCCUGAUGACCAGACAAGCAAUAUAUGUCCCUCGUACGGCCAUUGCCCAAGUUCCGUGGUAGAUCCCACGAACAUGGAGUUGGAGCAUACAUGCUAGGACCCGAAAGAUGGUGAACUAUGCCUGGACAAAGCGAAGCCAAAGGAAACUCUGGUGGAGGCUUGUAGCGAUUCUGACGUGCAAAUCGAUCGUCUGAUCUGGGUAUAGGGGCGAAAGACUAAUCGAACCAUCUCAUAGCUGGUUCCUGCCGAAGUUUCCCUCAGGA
rnacentral:rRNA from 1 species